rnacentral:rRNA from 1 species
AUACGAACUGUGCAAACGUUAUUCGGGAUCACUGGGCUUAAAGGGUGCGUAGGCGGGUUUGAAGGUCUGAUGUGAAAGCCCACGGCUCAACCGUGGAAUUGCGUUGGAAACCACAAGCCUUGAGGGAGUCAGAGGUGAGCGGAACUAAUGGUGGAGCGGUGAAAUGCGUUGAUAUCAUUAGGAACACCGGUGGCGAAAGCGGCUCACUGGGACUCUUCUGACGCUGAGGCACGAAAGCUAGGGGAGCGAACGGGAUUAGAAACCCUAGUAGUCC